ACUACCCCUAAUUCAUCAUAGACUUAUAUAGUAGCAGUAGUACUAAUACAGCUGAAAGAAAUUUUUUUUUUUUCCUUCUGAUGUUUAAGGAUAGGACAAGUUUGCUCAUCAAAAGCCAAAGUAAAUCAAAAAAUACCAUAAAGGGUGAGAAGAAAACAAAGGAGGAAAUUUCACCAAAAGGGGUGUUGUGGAGUAGUAAAGAUCUCCUUUCUUUCUUUCUUUCUUUCUUUGAUAAGACGUCUAGAGUUCAAAUCUUGAAAAUAAAGGGUGUUUAGGAAUGAUAAUUUUUUUUUUCACUCUUGACGAGAAGUCUCGAGUUCAAAUCUUGAAAUAAAGUUUUCUCAUUGAAGAGCUCUCAAAAUUUUCAUCCAAAGGUGUGAUGGAAUGACAAAGGUUUCUACAUCCUUAACGAGAAGUCUCGAAUUCAAAUCCGGAAAACAAAGCUUUUUUGGCAAAACCCACUAACUUUAUUAACCAAACCAGAAGUUUCGAGUUCAAAUGAUGUUUUCAUAGGUAAGAAGCACUAAAACUCAACUCUCAUAGUAAAGCUCUAAACUUUUUUUCAAUUCGAAUCUGAAUUAAUAAAGUCAGUCAGUUUCGAAUAUUAAAUGAUUACAGAACAAAACAAUAUACAUAGUCCCUAGUUUACUCAAAAAUUUUCAAAAGUAUUAUCGCAUUCGUAUUAAAUUCUCCAAAAAUACGUUACUUUUGGAGGAUCCGACACUCUCCUAAUUACAUUUUUGAAGUGUCGGAUAGUACAUAGUUAGCUCAAACUUUUCAAAAAUGUUAUUGUAGUUAUAUCAGAUUCUCUUAAAAUACACUACUUUUGAAGAAUCCGUCACUCUUAGCCACUCAACUGAUAACAUUUUUAAAGAGUUCGAACAACACAGUAUACACAUUAUAUACACAUUAUAGGACACCUUUAUCACCAUUUUUCAGCCCAAAGUUUUCACCUUUUCUUGAUUCCAUAAAAAAAUGCACCAAAAAGACAAAAUCAAAACACCCUUUUAAGUUUCUUGAAAAUGGUAUUCAUCAAAAAUCCCAUCUUCAUCCUUCUUCCUAUACUAAUAUUAUCAAACACCUUGUGUCCAAUGAAUUUUUUUUUUCCGCAGAUUUUGGUUCAGUAGAUUUCAUGAAAAUGUCAGAAAUGCAAAUGCAGAUGGCUGGUUUUGUUUCUAGCUACUUUGGGGGUUGCAAAGUUCGAAUUUUUCUACUUGAAAUGGAAAUUUUCAGCUGUUUUUUCAUGUUUUCUUGAUUCGCCGGCGAGUUUGACGGAGGAAGUCGGUUGCCGGUGGUUGUUUGCGGCGGUAGACGGUGGUGAUAUUGGCGGGGACGGCUCAAUCUUUUCUCUCUCUCUGAAAAAAAAAAUG
rnacentral:lncRNA from 1 species